AUUGAACGCUGGCGGCAUGCCUUACACAUGCAAGUCGAACGGCAGCACGGGGGCAACCCUGGUGGCGAGUGGCGAACGGGUGAGUAAUGCAUCGGAACGUGCCCAGUAGUGGGGGAUAACCCGGCGAAAGCCGGGCUAAUACCGCAUACGACCCAAGGGUGAAAGCGGGGGACCGUAAGGCCUCGCGCUAUUGGAGCGGCCGGUGUCGGAUUAGCUAGUUGGCGGGGUAAGAGCCCACCAAGGCGACGAGCAGUAGCUGGUCUGAGAGGACGACCAGCCACACUGGGACUGAGACACGGCCCAGACUCCUACGGGAGGCAGCAGUGGGGAAUUUUGGACAAUGGGCGCAAGCCUGAUCCAGCCAUGCCGCGUGCGGGAAGAAGGCCUUCGGGUUGUAAGCCGCUUUUGGCAGGAACGAAACGGCGCAAGCCAAUACCUUGCGCUAAUGACGGUACCUGCAGAAUAAGCACCGGCUAACUACGUGCCAGCCGCCGCGGUAACAC
rnacentral:rRNA from 1 species